GCGCCGGUAGCUCAGUGGAUAGAGCAUCAGACUUCGGAUCUGGGGGUCGAGGGUUCGAAUCCUUCCCGGCGCGCCA
rnacentral:tRNA from 1 species